GCCAGCGUAGUGUAAUGGUUGCACCUUGGAUUAGAACACUGGGAGACCAGGGUUCGAGUCCCAGCUCAGCCA